rnacentral:rRNA from 1 species
AACGAACGCUGGCGGCGGGCUUAACACAUGCAAGUCGAACGCAUCCUUCGGGGUGAGUGGCAGACGGGUGAGUAACGCGUGGGAACGUGCCCUUCAGUUCGGGAUAACCCAGGGAAACUUGGGCUAAUACCGGAUACGUGCGAGAGCAGAAAGAUUUAUCGCUGAAGGAUCGGCCCGUGUCUGAUUAGCUAGUUGGUGGGGUAAUGGCCCACCAAGGCGACGAUCAGUAGCUGGUCUGAGAGGAUGAUCAGCCACAUUGGGACUGAGACACGGCCCAAACUCCUACGGGAGGCAGCAGUGGGGAAUAUUGGACAAUGGGCGCAAGCCUGAUCCAGCCAUGCCGCGUGAGUGAUGAAGGCCUUAGGGUUGUAAAGCUCUUUCGUCCGGGACGAUAAUGACGGUACCGGAAGAAGAAGCCCCGGCUAACUUCGUGCCAGCAGCCGCGGUAA